rnacentral:rRNA from 1 species
AGGGUGCGAGCGUUAAUCGGAAUUACUGGGCGUAAAGCGCAUGCAGGUGGUUUGUUAAGUCAGAUGUGAAAGCCCGGGGCUCAACCUCGGAAUUGCAUUUGAAACUGGCAGACUAGAGUACUGUAGAGGGGGUAGAAUUUCAGGUGUAGCGGUGAAAAUGCGUAGAGAUCUGAAGGAAUACCGGUGGCGAAGGCGGCCCCCUGGACAGAUACUGACACUCAGAUGCGAAAAGCGUCGGGGAGCAAACAGGAUUAGAUACCCUGGUAG